UGGCGGACGGGUGAGUAAUGUCUGGGAAACUGCCUGAUGGAGGGGGAUAACUACUGGAAACGGUAGCUAAUACCGCAUAACGUCGCAAGACCAAAGAGGGGGACCUUAGGGCCUCUUGCCAUCGGAUGUGCCCAGGUGGGAUUAGCUAGUAGGUGGGGUAACGGCUCACCUAGGCGACGAUCCCUAGCUGGUCUGAGAGGAUGACCAGCCACACUGGAACUGAGACACGGUCCAG
rnacentral:rRNA from 1 species